GGUAAACGCUGGCGGCGUGCCUAAAACAUGCAAGUCGAACGCAUCGAGCAAUCGGUGAGUGGCAGACGGCUGAGUAACGCGUGGGUGACCUGCCCCGAUGUGGGGAAUAACUGCCCGAAAGGGUGGCUAAUACCGCAUGAGCUUCGACGUAUUGCGUCGAAGGAAAGUCGCAAGACGCAUUGGGAGGGGCCCGCGUCCGAUUAGCUGGUUGGUGGGGUAACGGCCUACCAAGGCGACGAUCGGUAGCUGGUCUGAGAGGAUGAUCAGCCAGACUGGGACUGAGAAACGGCCCAGACUCCUACGGGAGGCAGCAGUUAGGAAUUUUGGGCAAUGGGCGCAAGCCUGACCCAGCAACGCCGCGUGGGUGACGACGGCCUUCGGUUGUAAG
rnacentral:rRNA from 1 species